AUAUGUAGCCCAGCUCAAAAUGACGCAUAGUUCUGGGCUCCGUUUGAACGAUGAGUUCAGAAGCCCAAAUUGAAACCCGUUGUUUCAGUUUCACCCGCUCGCUCCGGACUCUGAGUUUCAAUUACCGAGUCCUGGCCGAGCUCGGGACCAACUGCGAUCUCCCCUUCUCUCUCGCCGGCGAACACAAGAUUCAACAAGCCUGAAGAGACCGCAAUUGGAAGACCAUCAAAGUAUGUCCUCAAUUUUAUUUCUGUUCAUAAAUUAGACCCCAAAACCCUAGAACCAGAGAUUAUUAUUUUGAUCUUCUCUUCUGCAAUCGGAUCUGGAUCCAUCGUUCCAUCAUGUCCUGUUUAGCCCUUGCUCUGCAACCUGCUAAUGGAUCUGAUAUCCUUCUUCAAACUCGCGAAUGGUUCCCUCCCCCGCGAGCGUUAGUAGCCCUAUCCGCCUUCCGGCAGACGCGAUUAGCCUUCGCUGCCACCAAGCACCAGACACACCAUGCCUCGACCGCCCUUGGCGAUGAUUCCUCGCUCGCCGACUCUAUUGCCUCCCUUGGUGAUGAUCCUUUGGCCGCCUCUAAUGGCCAGGUUAUCGUCGGUGUAGAGAGCCGCUACCGAGUUGUCUAUCGCCUCGUCAAUGGCAUCUAUGUCCUCGGCAUCACCACCGCCGAUCAAGAUAACUCUAUUAAUGUCUUUGAGUGUAUCAAUAUUGUAAACCAAGCCGUCAGCGUCAUUGUCGCGGCCUGUCGUGGCGUUGAUGUCACGCCGGAGAAGCUUAGCCGGAAAUACGCUGAGAUUUACAUGGCGUUGGAUAUUGUUCUAAGGGGUGUCAGCAGUAUCCGGCUCGCGGCAAUGCUGGCUUCGAUGCACGGAGAUGGUCUCGCGAAAAUGGUUCAUUCGGCUCUCGAUACGGAAAAUAAGAUUCGUGGGGCUGAUAGUUGGAACACCAUGGAGGUUCACUCGAUUGAGCAUCAAGCCAAUGUGGAGGCAUUUUCAAGUGCGCGGUUUGAGUUACCUGCGGAGACUCUUGAAGCUGGGGAUGAAGUAGCAACAAGUCUUGCGCCUGUCACCACUCAGAGUGUGAAUGAGCAACAGGAUCAGCAGCAGCAGAAGACUGAGGAGCCCGCCACAGAGCAGGAUCCGUUUGCGGCAAGUGACAUGAUUAACAAGCCUGAAGAGCUUGUGAGUGGGUUCAAGAAGAAUAAGGACCCUUCUGCUACGGAUUUGACUAUGGUGUUGGCAGGUCUUGAGGUGCCAACAUUGCCACCAGCGGAAGCCACCCAAUCAACACAUAUUGGUGUGGAGGGAUUCGAAGGAGACUAUGGUGGAAUACAGUUCAGUACUGAUCAAGCUACCAUGGAAGAAACUUUUGAGGGCUUCAGUGACGCUUGGGGUGGAGGAUUGGAUCCAUCUGAGUUCGUGGGUCCUGACAAGGUUAAAAAAUCUGAAGGCCUUGGUGGGUUGGAACUCUUACAGACCGGACAGGCUGAUGGAACGAAAGCAGCUGCUGCUGCUGCUGCUAGCGGUACAGGAACGCCACUUGAGAACUUGGUGACUAAAACUGAAAUGAAGGGUCCCGAAAUGUAUAUCACCGAACAGAUUAGUGCAGAGUUCAGAGAAUCGCUGUUGGCAAGAGUAGGAUUGACGGGGGUUGUAUAUUUGAAAACUUUGCCACCUAAAACUUCUGAUGACAAAGAAACAGAGUUUUCAUUUCGCGUCGAGGAUACAGCUCCGGUUAAACGAUUUGUCAUGCAGGGUUCUCGUGUUAGUAGUCUUGGAAAUGGAAUGUUUCAUGUGCGAACAGCGCCUUCAAAUGAACCCAUACCAAUUAUCAAGUAUAGUUUGCUACCUAGAUUAACCCCAUUGCCUUUGAGAGUUCGUCUCCUUCAACGUCAUAGUGGGACUUUACUUUCUGCAAUGAUUCAGUACGCUGUGAACCCUGAUUUGCCAUCACCUUUGAAAGAUGUAACUUUUACUUUGAAACUGCCGGUUGAUCCUACAUUGUUAAAGGUGUCUCCAAAAGCUGUAUUGAAUAGGUCCGAGAAACAAAUAAAAUGGCAUAUCCCUGAGAUUCCUUUGAAGGGCUCUCCUGUUCGAUUGAGGGCAAGGAUGCCUGUGGAUAGGGGCGAGGAAGAUGAAGGAGAAGAACUUGAAGUGGUAGGUUAUGUGAAAUUUUCAGUUCAAAGUUAUAGAUCACUAUCUGGGAUUUGUUUACGGCCGGCUACUGAGGGUAAGACGGACUUCUACGAGACAGAUCACAAAUUUGAGACUGGAGUCUAUAUGUGCAACUGAAGCCUUUAAAGGUUGAAUGUCUGGUACAAUUCUUGUUAGUGCCUCAGUUUUUGCCUAGUGCUCCAUCUUCGACUUCCAACUAUUUAGUCUCAUGAUUAUGAUAGAAAACGUGAGGAAAGAUAACAAGCAAAAGAGGGAUCAAGUCAAAUAUGGGAAGGGGAAUUAUUGGACUUCACAGAAGGCCGUGGAUGGACCUAUGAUAUUGUCGAGUUGACAUUAACAUCGGCGUGGAGGAAAUAAGUUGGCCUGUAAUCAUGUAUCUUUUGCCAACUUAUAAUAAGUUGCCAAAGGCCACUUUUUUGACAAAAUCGAAAUGAACAGCUUUGAAAACCAUUAUAAUGGAGGAGGCUUGCUCAAUACUACUUGCAUCUGGUAAAUUGUGUUGAAGAGAGUUUUUUUUCUUUCUUUUUGAAAAGGAGAUACGUCAUUAAAGCAUCAAAUGUCAUACAAUGCAACAUCACAUUCUUUAUCCAAUAAGUGUAUACUACUGGGCUGAA